GUUAUCUCCCUUCAGUUUGCCUCUGGUCGCUGUUACGUGAGGACGUUAACAGCAUCAUCGGGUGCGUUAUCACUUAUCAGCAACCACGGGCAGUGCCUAGAUUUUAGGCACAUAACUACCUACUUUUUUUUUUUUUUUUUAGCACAACUUGCCAUCAGAACAUGCAGAAGACUUCUAUAGAUUUAACGUUGAUACCGUGAUGAAAGUGUAACGUAGGGUAGGUGAAGAUGUGUGUGGUUUUUGUGGCGCCUCGAGCAACGCAUAGAAGAUCGGUAUGUGAUGGGUAAAAUACCCUUUUCUUACUCUUAGCUGUGGCAUUAGUGGAGACGCAGAGUCCGACAGGCGUUUCUGACUAUCUCGUACCCACGAUAGAGUGUAUGUCAGCUUUUAGUAUGUCUUUUGUGCGAAGUUACAGGAGUCUUUAUGAGGGAAAGGGGGAAAGCCGUGGCCCUUGUGGGGAACUUGGGGAUUCUGUGCGCGCGGGUUGGGAUACAGCUUCGGUCUGGUGCGAGAUUGUUCAGUGCGCCUGGUCUCCUUGUUCGCAAAAUUGUAUUUUUUUUAACCUCAAGAAUUAUAUGUAAUGUGUGCAUUGGGCUCUGUGUUCUUCGCUGGUCAGGAUUGCUGUGUGAUCGGGAUAGUGAAGGCCUCUUCUUGGAGCGGAUGUUGUGUUCCGAGCAGGGUUCUUCGCUCGCUGUGCCUCAGGUGCUAUUCAUUAGCUUUUAGCUUCAGGGAUUUUGUAGCUAUAUACGGUGUUCUGUGCUUACUGUGCAUUUUAGGAGCUUUCCUCCGUUUAACAUAAGUAAUUAAAAUCAGAUAAUGUAAUCUGGUGAUUAUAUAUAAAUAUUUUAAGACAUUCCGUAUACGAAUACGAUGAUUUUUUAAAUUAAAUGGAUCACUGGACAUGCGUCUGAUUUCUCAUUUUUACUGUCUCGUAUCUUCCCACGCAAUUUCAUAAAAUCUCAAAAAUCCAGAUAAAAACCAGUAUCUUCCCUGAAAUGCACAGUAGUGAUUCCUCUUGCUCUGUCCUUCCUUUUUAUAGAACGUAGUGUUUAGAGUAGUUCUCUCCGCAGCAUAGCUCAGGCUUAGUGUGCAAGGGUAUUAGCUUACUCUCUUAGCCUAGACAUAGUCCUAUAGUGUGCUGCACUGCCGGAAUCCAGGGAUGAAGAAACUUCCUGCUCGUCACUAGCGCUUAUAUAGAUAACCAAUAUAUUAAAAUUAACGUAGCCCAACUGCUGCGUGCAAUAGUUAAUGAUAGGUCGGGCACGCGACUGGAAGAGAGCAGCCAGCGGAUGGAGGAGCGGAAGGACUCGAUCGGAAAAGCCUGGAGGAGAGCUGAAAGGAGACAAGCCACGAAGAGCUGUAUAUCGUUACAAUUUAACUGUUAAUGCCACAGCAGUUGAAGUGUAUAUAGGACACGAGUAGUGUCAGGAUAUCGCGUGCAGCCGUAGCUGGUUAGGUGCAAGCUCAGCUAGGAUCGACAGGUAACGAAUUGCAGUGCGGUAUCUGUAGUGCACUGUGUAUGUCGCGAAAGGCAUAGGUACAGGAUAUUGUCUCAGUGGUUGCUGUAAAGAGGUUCUCCGCCACUAGAAUAUGAUCCAUUUCAGUGGAUGUCGUUCAUUUGGGCAUGUGCUAGGCUUAGCUCGGAUGUUUUCCGUUGGAUUAAAUCCCUUCACGAUAUUGAUAUUUGGUAUCGGUUCCGACACUGUGUCCUCUGUCCGUCUUUGUGGUUAGGUUUGCGCAUCGCAUGUGGUCGUCCAUGAAUGAGUUGGACAUUCCCUCAUAAGCUGGACGUUCCCUAAAGUUGUGCGUAUCAAGGGUCCAUUAUCAGUGGUCGAAUCUUGUGCAAUGCAUGUUCAGGUUGGUUAUUGGUUACCAGUUGCGUGGCGCGUCCGCUGAUAAGAAACGUCCUCCGACCUUCUGCGUUCUUUGGUUUGACUUCGGUUCUCUCUUAUCGGGAUAUCCCUAUCUUUCUCCACGUAAUGUCCUCCCAUUCUGGUCGUUAGCCUGUGUCGGAACCUUCUGCUUUUGAAUCUCGAACAGCACCACUGAGCAAUGUCAGAUAGGCUAGUGAGGUUUAGCUGUAAGAAUACCAUACUCUAUCGCGUUAAGUUGUAUGAGGAUUAGAAUAGGAGCACCUGGGGUACAGUGAUGAAAACGUGAGCCUGGCACAUGGCGUUCUUUCUGGAUUCACUCACACCUAAAUAAAUACGCCAUAAGUGAAACUCAUUUCUGGGUCUAUUUCUAUACCAGUAAUACUAGCAUAAAAUGUAAUAUUUACCGAUUACUCGUUUUUAUCAUAAAUUAAAAAAACGUUCAUGGCCAUGUGCGAGGCUCAUCACAUGGUCAGCUCUGUCUCGCUCAGCUAUGAUAAGUCUGAAAAUGACGCACUGGUCUCUGGGGUAUACGGGUUGGGUGAGAGGCUGUCCACGAAGAUAUACAUACAGCCGUAUAUAAUAAGGUUAGGUGCAGCUUUUAGCUUUACCAUUAGUUUGUCUGCAAAGACGAAGAAGGGCACGGCUCGCGGCGACAGUGAGGGGAGUCACACAUAUAUAUACUUUGGGAAUUACGAGUGUCAUGUACGCGAAUUCAUAUAGUGCUUGUGUAAUGAUGUUGUGGACCCCUAAAUAUAGCUACGAUAGCUCGCACCGCGUGGUACCCCGACAGAGGCACCUUCGCGGUCGUCUCUCGUCGGUAAGUAUGUCGGACACUAGGCUACGACUACCAUGGGGAAUACGUGGGAAUGGAAGGGUCGCCACCGUUAUACCGGCCUGUCCGCUGGUCUGGGUAGGUGUAGGCGCGAAACACUGGGACGGGCGCAUAUUUCUGGCAGCCGUUUAGGGCAGGGUAUGGAUUACUUAGGUAGACGGGAAAGCGGACGGGUGCGCACUGCGACCGGUUAGCUUUUAUGAUUGUAUUAAUGACAGCCGUGGCGGUGGCGGUCCUGAGGUGUCUUCUGUUCGGGAGUACGUAGGGAGUAAAGAUGGUUGUCGUUAUAGUGAGUAAGAUUUCGUCCCUGGGUUUUUCUGAGUGUGUUGCGUGUGUAGGUGUCAUAAAUGAUAGGGGAAUGACAGGAAAAGCGAGACAAUGGAAGGAGAUGGUUAUGAGUGGAAAUUAUUAGUUUAUACUAUAGCAAAAAAAAUUUGCGAAGUGUUGCUUUGACUUCGUAGUGUGACAAUUAGUAAUGUAAUUAAUUAAUAUAAACACGAUUCCACUCGUACACUAUAUCCUUCGAGGAACACUGGCCAAUCGGCCACUGGGAAACGCAACAGUAAGUUGUACCGCCGUGGGACAUUUCGCCGCGGACGUGGCGGCGCUGGAUGGAAGCACGGACCUCCCGCCGCUGGAACCCGCUAGCUCGGUCUCGAUUAGUGGUUAUCGGUGAGAGAGUCCACACCAGCGCGAGUGAGCACAUCUGCUGUGCUCGUGUCUUGGGUUCGUACCUUCGGGACGAGUCUCUGGCCGUGGAUGAUCCCUCCGUAUAGCUGCUGAUCGCCACACACAUAUGCACACAUAUAUCUCAUUUAUGUUUAACUGUAUCUUCGUAUGCGGUCGAGCCUAGAUCCUCUCCAAACAUGUGUGUGUGUUAGGCGGUGGAGUUGGACUGCUCGGCAUAGAUGCCCGCCCGUGUUAGGCUUAGCUCGCGUACGUUCUCUUUCAGUGCGAACAUAGCGAUUGAAUAGAAAUAAAAAUUGAAGUGUGUUUUAAUGUGUGAUGUUUGGAAAAAAAAGUGUGUCUGUGUCUCUUUACUCGUCUUAUGUAUUGCUGGGCGGGAUUCAAUAUAUAAUAUAAUAUAUAUAUAAUAUAAUAUAAUUAAUAAUAUAUAUAUAAUAAUAUAAUAUAAUUAAUAAUAUAUAUAUAAUAUAAUAUAAUUAAUAAUAUAUAUAUAAUAAUAUAAUAUAAUUAAUAAUAUAUAUAUAAUAAUAUAUAUAUAAUGUAUAUAAUUUUUUUUGCAACUAUAUAUAUCGAAUCGUCCUCGGCGAAGGAUUGACGGCGCGCGUGCGAGUCGGCUUAUCGCUAUAGCUUGGCUGGAUUAAUUUGCGGCUGCUGUACUAACCUCUUCCUCCUUUUCAGCAUUUCCACAUUGUUUCGAUGUGGUACACUAAUCGUUCUGCUUGUAUUUUUCAGGUUCUCACCAUAUAUUUCCCCAUAUUAUGUUUUAAUUUAUCCGCUAUGUUUCGCUGGAACUGUCUCCCAUGCAAUUGGUUGCCCGUCGAGAAUAAUGUGUCAAGGACACAGGAAUUGGAGGAACUGUUUAUUCAGGCUCUAGAGCUAGAAGCGAGAGCAAUGGACGAACGAGAUAAUGAUGAUAGCACAUCUUGUGCCUCACAAUGGCAACAAUUCAGAGAUUUUAUUUGAGAGAUAUAUUCAACCACAGGAAGUAUUUGGGACCAGAAGAAACUUGCUUUAAAAAAAAAUUAUAAUUGAUAAUGAUAAGUAGGUUAGAUAUGGGUGUGGUGUUCCUUUUUGGUUUUUCUUUUUCGUUUUCCAGAGUGGUGGUUCCAGCAGCCCAUGAUCUCGGAAGAUACCUGACUAUGGAGUGCAGCCGUUGGUUCUCUAUCAUGAACAGAUGUGGUGAUAUUUUUCCUUUUCUUUUCUUUCGUAAGAUUAGAAGGCAGCCAAGAUUCUAUACUGAAACGCCUCUGAGGCUUCUGGAAGAAAAUGCUCCAUGGAAGAAAAUGAUUGCUGCACCUUUAGGAUAGGUUGAACCCUCAUGCAAUUAGUUGCCCAUCAAGAGCAAUAUUGUGACAAGGACACACAGAGAUCGGAGGAACUGUUUAUUGAGAUCAGAGUAGCUAGAAGAAGCAAGAGACCAAGGGAACAAACGAGAUAUGAUGCUCACGAUAGCACUUCUGCCUCAUAAUAUCAACAAGUCGGAGCUUUUACUCAUUGAGAUAUAUUCAACAACAGCAAGAACUUUGGACCAGAGGAAGAAGAAACUGACUUUUUAAAAAAAUCAUUUUUGUAAUAUAUAAUGUUAAGUAGGCUAGAUAUGGGUGUGGUGUUCCUUUUUGGUUUUUCUUUUUCAUUUUCCAGAGUGGUGGUUCCAGCAGCCCAUGAUCUCGGAAGAUACCUGACUAUGGAGUGCAGCCGUUGGUUCUCUAUCAUCAACAGAUGUGGUGAUAUUUUUUCUUUUCUUUCGUAAGAUUAGAAGGCAGCCAAGAUUCUAUACUGAAACGCCUCUGAGGCUUCUGGAAGAAAAUGCUCCAUGGAAGAAAAUGAUUGCUGCAUCUUUAGGAUAGGUUGAACUCUCAUGCAAUUAGUUGCCCAUCAAGAGCAGUAUUGUGGCAAGGACACAGAAAUGGGAGGCUUAUUGAGGCAGGACAGACCGCUCUGCAUAAUUUCCACCAGAAUUAAUCACUUGGUGAUGAACAAUGGUGAACAACAAUGAAUGUCGACCAACAUAAAACAAGGCGAGAUAGCUGGUGUGUAGAUGAAAUGGGCAUCAUUUUCUCGAGCCUGAAAAGCAAAGGGCACUGACAGAACGAACUGGACACUGGGAAUGAACGGACUGAACUGACCAUUGAGGAUAAUUUUAUGGCUGCCACUUCACAGUUCAUAGAUUAAUGAGCAUUCUUAAAGGCCAGGCAUUUUAAAAUGCUUUGUUUCGCUGUUUCUGACCUUUUUCUAUUUCAGAAGCAAAUACAACUGGAGCCAUAUCAAGCACAUCUAGCAUCUUCCCUGCUUCGCUUAACUGGCCUUUGGAAGCUUUGGACACAGGGGCGACUAGCUCGGACUUCCCACGGGGGCAAAUCGAAGUGUAUCUGUGGGAGUGCAGCCAAAGGAGACAGUGAGACUGCAGGUCUUUCCGAAGAGCCAGGAGCGCGGGGACUACCGGACUCCAUCAACGGUACAACAUCGAAGUGUCAACCUCAAGUGAACAUGUACUCGUGGAUAUUGUCUUUGUGCUUCAAGCACCUUCAGUCAACAGCUACAUGUCAUCCCACAGGACGUAACGCUGCAACUGCUUAGCACACUAUGGACAACAUAUUGUUAUAUUGUUGUGUGGUUUAGGUUUAUAGUGUGUGUGACAAGUAUGCAAUUGUUUUGUAUCAUGAACAAACUUGACCAGCGGAGCUGGGAGGUAUGGGGCAUUGCUCUGUACCGGCUGCACCUUCUGCUGGUUUUCCUGGGUUUUCCUCGCAGACAGAGACGAAUGUGGGUGCAGUUCCCAUAAAGUCGGCUCAGGACGCACUUUCAUCCCCCCAAUGGCGGCAACCGCAUGCCUUGGACGUAAUCCUGCUCUAAACGUCCAUGACGCAUCUUUUGCGUUCCCUUUAAGCUUCACUGCGACAUGGCUCGCACCGUGCAAAUGACAGUCGACCAUUUUGCAUGUUGCGUGGAUGUUUUGAAUGUGUGUGCAUGUCACGUGCGCACGUUGUACAUACCAAACCAGGACCCCCACCAAAUUAAAGUCGAGGAAACAAAUGAAUCGUUACUUUUAGCCAGUACAAAUUUAUUCAAUCAAUCAGUCGCAAAGAUUCUGGUAUGGUAUUGCAACAGGCACGUGUCUGUGUGUGUAGCAUGUGCGUGUAUGUGCAUGAGCGUACGUACGCAAAUGUUGGUCUGUUUUUAACUCUACUAAACUGCCGUGGUUGAAUGUCAUUUGCCGGGUGGACUUUGCUGCAGUGAAGCCAUUAUUCGGUUCGGUUAUUUCAAAUGGUCAGGUUGGAUCCGCCUGGUUAUUUGAAAAGCAAUUUUUAAAUUACACCCUCGACGCUGUGUGUGCCUUCACAUGCACUAUGUUAUGGUUAAAUAAUGUGCAAGGAUUUCUUUCUGAUAUUGAAUAGUUCAUUGGGAGUGUUUCAGUGAUGUGUAUUUUGUACAUGCUGAUGCUAUCUGAUUAUUGCGUGAGAUUUCUGUGUAUUAAGUAGUUCAUUUUGUAUGUGCUGAUGCUAUCUAAUGUAUAAUCGACUGGUUGUGUAUUAAAUGUGUGUGAUUUUCAUCUUUCUGUACAUUAAAUUUCAGGUGCUUUGUCUCUCUUCACUUAGUGUUCUGUGUGUUGAAUGCCAGUAAUGUAGCCAGAAAAAUAUUUCUAGAGUUUGGUGAAAUCCUCCUCUGCAUGUGAAGUUACAUUUCCCUUUCCCAAAUGUACUACCAAAGGUGAGAGUGCAUUGUCAAUCCAGUAAGCAAAUACGGAUUGGCAGUUGUUAUAAAAACAUGGUUGUGAAUUGGAGAACUUGCAACACAUUGAGUAACUUUCUUGUCUAAUUUGAUAUGCAAGAAUGUGCAAGUGGUUUAUUUAGAUUUCAAAUACCCCAUGUUCCUCUGUGGAAUAGAAGUGUAGCAAAUCAUUUUUCAUGUGGAGGAUGUCUGCUUGCCAAAUCCACAAAGUAUGAAAAAAACAGCAGUUUUGAUUCUUUCAAAUGGUUUAGAAAAUCUGAUGUUCAUGUCCUAAAAAAAAAAAAAAUCUGCAUUGUGUCAAGCAUGUUAAAAUGUCUCGGCUUGUAGAGGUGGAACACUUUGGAAACUUUUUGCAAAAACUGUCAGUACUGAAAUCCUGUCAAUGACCUGUGAAAGUGCAUUUGGGGUAGGAUCUUUGUUGCAAGAGGUAACUGUUGAAGAUGAGAGAGGACAGAGGGAUGACGAUGGUGUUUAUUCCGUUCAAAGGAGCUAGAAUGAACGCAAUGUCUGUCA